rnacentral:rRNA from 1 species
AGUGAACGCUGGCGGUAGGCCUAACACACGCAAGUCGAACGGCAGCACAGUAAGAGCUUGCUCUUACGGGUGGCGAGUGGCGGACGGGUGAGGAAUACAUCGGAAUCUACUUUUUCGUGGGGGAUAACGUAGGGAAACUUACGCUAAUACCGCAUACGACCUACGGGUGAAAGCAGGGGAUCUUCGGACCUUGCGCGAUUGAAUGAGCCGAUGUCGGAUUAGCUAGUUGGCGGGGUAAAGGCCCACCAAGGCGACGAUCCGUAGCUGGUCUGAGAGGAUGAUCAGCCACACUGGAACUGAGGCACGGUCCAGACUCCUACGGGAGGCAGCAGUGGGGAAUAUUGGACAAUGGGCGCAAGCCUGAUCCAGCCAUACCGCGUGGGUGAAGAAGGCCUUCGGGUUGUAAAGCCCUUUUGUUGGGAAAGAAAAGCAGCAGGUUAAUACCCCGCUGUUCUGACGGUACCCAAAGAAUAAGCACCGGCUAACUUCGUG